GGGCGGCUAGCUCAGUUGGUUAGAGCGCUAUCCUCACACGGUAGAAGUCACAGGUUCGAGUCCCGUGCCGCCCA
rnacentral:tRNA from 1 species